UACGAAGGGGGCUAGCGUUGCUCGGAAUCACUGGGCGUAAAGCGCACGUAGGCGGAUCUUUAAGUCAGGGGUGAAAUCCCAAGGCUCAACCUUGGAACUGCCUUUGAUACUGGGGGAUCUCGAGUCCGGAAGAGGUUGGUGGAACUGCGAGUGUAGAGGUGAAAUUCGUAGAUAUUCGCAAGAACACCAGUGGCGAAGGCGGCUCACUGGCCCGGUACUGACGCUGAGGAGCGAAAGCGUGGGGAGCAAACAGG
rnacentral:rRNA from 1 species